rnacentral:rRNA from 1 species
UCCAAAAAUUAGUCCCAGUUCAGAUUGCAGGCUGCAACUCGCCUGCAUGAAGUCGGAAUUGCUAGUAAUCGUGGAUCAGCAUGCCACGGUGAAUACGUUCCCGGGCCUUGUACACACCGCCCGUCACACCAUGGGAGUCGGUAACACCCGAAGCCUGUAGUCUAACCGCAAGGAGGACGCAGUCGAAGGUGGGAUUGAUGACUGGGGUGAAGUCGUAACAAGGUAGC